GCCAGGAAGGGGGUCGGGCGGGAGGGGAGGAGACCGCGGAGCAGCCAAUCGGCGCUCAGCCCAUCAGCUGACCGCUUUUGCUUACACCAGGUGCACGCCGGCUGCGGGGAGCACAAAGCGGGGCGCACCGAGGGCGCCGGCACCUAGCCGGGGAGCUAGGCGAGGCCCGUGCGCCAGCGUCCGCAGCGCCCUCCGAUUGGGGAGAGGGGCUGGUGGUGUUAGCCCAGGCGGCGGAAUCCGCGCGGUGGCAUCCCUAGUUGCCCCGUGUGCCUUUCUCGGGACCUGGCCGCUCUCUGCCUCGCCCUCUGCGCCCCACUUCUCCAGUCCUCCUUCCCAAUCCUGCCUGCCUCUGCCCCGACCCCGGAGAGUCGGAUUGAGCCCAGGCCCGCGCAGCAGCUGUUGCUCGUGUCGUUGCCUCUCCUCCUGUCUUGGUGCUCUGCUGGGAACCCCCCAAGGAGCCGCUGCGCGCUGCGGGCUGGGAGGGAGGCGCCGCUCAGCCGGUCGUCCUCCUCCUGCCGCUGCCGCGGGUCCGUGCGCACCCCAUACCCCCGCCAGCCGGGCCUCGGGAGACAGACAAAUGGAAAAAAUACUUGUAAUGGACUGACAUGAAGAAUGUUUACUAUUCAGUCAAAAUUAUUUUAGUUGUUAAGGCAUCAAAUUUGGAGAACUGAAGGUGAGAAACCAUCAUGUUCCUAGUCACCUGAGGGGUUUUCGGGUCACAGGACCAAACAAUGAAUGGGAGACAGUCAUGCAUUGGACCCCAAAAUAGGGAAAUUUCUGCCUUGUCCAACAUUAGCUAAUAGACCACUGCACAGCUCACCUCCUGGAGUAGCAUGACCACCAAACAAAAGGCCGGUGGUGUGGGCUGCACGUGAGCCCUGGGAUUAUACCUACUGACAAGCCAGCCCCCUUGGCCUCUUCUUUUGUCAGUCUGAAACACUGUUGAAGGGAAAAGAACCUAUUCACUGAACAGUGCUUGCCCCUGUAUUCUGUAUAUUCACUGGAAAGGACAUUAAAAUACAGCUCCCCCCACAAAAAGACAACAUUGUUUUGAGGGCUUGGUGUUUGCUGGGGAGGAGUGCACAACAGAUGUUAGUCUGCUAUUUUACGUGUUUCCUUUAAGUUAUUUUUGCUGGUUCAGUGACUUUUACACAUAAGGCAGUAUUUUCCCAGGAGGGGAGACAUGAACUGAGUCAAAUUUAAGUAAGAAAAUGUUAUAGCCAAG
rnacentral:lncRNA from 1 species